UUUCUACUCCCUUCGUCCGGAAAUACUUGUCAUCAAAAUGGAUAAAAGGGGAUGUAUCUAGACGUAUUUUAGUUUUAGAUACAUCUUUUUUUAUCCAUUUUGAUGACAAGUAUUUUCGGACGGAGGAAUACAAU
rfam:Triticum aestivum genome assembly, contig: Triticum_aestivum_CS42_TGACv1_scaffold_423892_5BS